CUUCCACAUAGUUCUUAAUUCUUCUGUUUGCUGGAUGUUCACCACAAUACUCUGUGCAACACCCCAAUUGUUGAAAGGGUAAUACAGAAAUAGCGGCAAUAGACAGCACUGCAUCUUCAGGACUUUCCAAGUUAGUUUAUGUCCUCAUAAGUAAGCAUCUCAGUUUCUUCGGCCAGCAUGGAUUUUGACCAAACAGAUUUAAUUGCAAAAAAGGUAAGUAGGCAGGUAGGUCAGCCAGAGAGAUUGGUGUGUAGUCCCAAAUAUCAGGCAGCACAAAUACUCCAGUACGGUCUCUAUAAUCAUACAAACACAAGGAUCAGUACGACAUCAAUAAAUUAAUUAUCUAGGCUAAACUCAAAUUAGAGACUAAAGUUAAACUCUUAACUAGUGUAACAUGUACGUCUCUCAGUUUUGCUUAUAAUUCAUUGAAUUUGUCCUUUAUAAAAUUUUAAUACAUAAUUUCCCUUUAGAAUGCCUUGUAUGGAUGAGAGAAGCACUCAUUCUAUAUAAAUGCUUGUUGAGUACUAAAACACUAACAUAUACAUAUUGGUAUAAUUCCCAAUAAAAUGCUGUUCUUAAACUUAAACCUUGAUUUGAUAAUCUCAAUUAAUUACUUUAAUAAAAUUUUGUGGACCCUGAUAACAUCUUUGGAAACCGAAACCUUUUAUAGAUCCCGAUGUGUGUGAUCAUGUUUUAAUACAUGUUGGAACCUCCAUACAGUUAUCCCACUUAAACAAUAUAUUUUUUUUCAGAACAACUAGGAAUGAAAUAGGAGAAACAAAAUAAAUUACUAUUGUUCUAAAGUGCUUUGUUUAAUACAGGUUUCGGAAGAGUUGUCUUGCUGUGUUGCAAGUGGCCUCUGAUAAGGAAGGGACAGCAAACUGUAGGCAUAUGUUAUAUUAAGUUGCUCUCACUUGUCAGGUCUUGGAAACCCACUUAAUUUAUUGCAGAUGCCUCUAUUAUACCACUUUACAAAUUGACUAAGCAUACUUAUUAUCCUAUUUUAUUUUAGUUAUUUCACAUUGCACAGCCUAUGCAAACAAUGUCUAGGUCCCAACUUCAGCUUGUACAUCCUCUAAGUGCCAGCAUUAAUACUGCUUUAUCUAUCAAAACUAUAUAUAAAGUAUUAAAAACAUGAACCAUCUGUGUAUUAGGCUGAGGUUGUUGGGUGUGGGUAUAGCUUGAAAGUUGUGGUUGGUAUUGAGGAACCUGCCAGGGUGGGAGUCCUUGAAUGCCAGCUGGGCCAGG